AAGGUAGAAACUGACCAGAUAAAAGGCAUUCCAGUAUUCAAGUACCAGCACCGACGUUGUAUGGCUUUGCAAGGGUAUUAUUUCUAGAGAGACAAUAUUGAAUUCUAAUUCUAUUCAACUAAAAAAAAUAUUUGAACAAUUGGACUCAUUACGUAAUUUACACACCUUGUAUGCUUUCACGAUCCCACACGAUUUUUGUUGUCAUAGUAAUA